rnacentral:rRNA from 1 species
UACGAAGGGGGCUAGCGUUGCUCGGAAUCACUGGGCGUAAAGCGCACGUAGGCGGCUUUUUAAGUCAGGGGUGAAAUCCUGGAGCUCAACUCCAGAACUGCCUUUGAUACUGAGAGCUUGAGUCCGGGAGAGGUGAGUGGAACUGCGAGUGUAGAGGUGAAAUUCGUAGAUAUUCGCAAGAACACCAGUGGCGAAGGCGGCUCACUGGCCCGAUACUGACGCUGAUGCACGAAAGCGUGGGGAGCAAACAGG